GACGAACGCUGGCGGCGUGCUUAACACAUGCAAGUCGAACGGAAAGGCCCUGCUUUUGUGGGGUGCUCGAGUGGCGAACGGGUGAGUAACACGUGAGUAACCUGCCCCUGACUUUGGGAUAACUUCAGGAAACUGGGGCUAAUACCGGAUAGGAGCUCCUGCUGCAUGGUGGGGGUUGGAAAGUUUCGGCGGUUGGGGAUGGACUCGCGGCUUAUCAGCUUGUUGGUGGGGUAGUGGCUUACCAAGGCUUUGACGGGUAGCCGGCCUGAGAGGGUGACCGGCCACAUUGGGACUGAGAUACGGCCCAGACUCCUACGGGAGGCAGCAAUGGGGAAUAUUGCACAAUGGGCGGAAGCCUGAUGAAGCAACGCCGCGUGCGGGAUGACGGCCUUCGGGUUGUAAACCGCUUUCGCCUGUGACGAAGCGUGAGUGACGGUAAUGGGUAAAGAAGCACCGGCUAACUACGUG
rnacentral:rRNA from 1 species